CUGAGAUUCUCCAGGCGAGAACACUGGAGGAGCUGAGAUGCUCUGCCUCAAAAAUCUGAAUGUCCUUUUCAUGGGAGAUAACUCUGGUACAUCCUGUUUUGAGAAGGUUCAAGGAACGUUUGCUGGAAGUCAAAUCCCUAGUUACAUCAUGAAACAUUCAUCUGGUGGAAAUGGAAGACAGAGCCAGUCCAUAAAGCAUUCCGAAGGCACCAUCAGCAUCAUGUUACAUAGACUUUGUGGCCAAGGCUUGACACACCAGUGUUGGAGGAAGCAAGCUGAGGCUUGUGCAACUCCUCAGCCACAUGUAUGGCAGAUUAUGCACUUUUCUUAGAUUUCUACAUAAUUAUGGCUCGCUUGGCGGCUCAGCGGUAAUGAAUCUGCAGUGCAGGAGAUGCAGUAGACACGAGUUCAGUCCCUGGGUCAGGAAGAUCCCCUAGCGGAAGAAAUGGCAACCCACUCCAGUAUUCCUGCCUGGAUAAUCCCAUGGACAGAGGGGCCUGGCAGG